rnacentral:rRNA from 1 species
CAUUCACGGAGAGUUUGAUCCUGGCUCAGGACGAACGCUGGCGGCGUGCUUAACACAUGCAAGUCGAACGAUGAACCACCUUCGGGUGGGGAUUAGUGGCGAACGGGUGAGUAACACGUGGGUAAUCUGCCCUGCACUCUGGGACAAGCCCUGGAAACGGGGUCUAAUACCGGAUACUGAACCGCUUGGGCAUCCAGGCGGUUCGAAAGCUCCGGCGGUGCAGGAUGAGCCCGCGGCCUAUCAGCUUGUUGGUGAGGUAACGGCUCACCAAGGCGACGACGGGUAGCCGGCCUGAGAGGGCGACCGGCCACACUGGGACUGAGACACGGCCCAGACUCCUACGGGAGGCAGCAGUGGGGAAUAUUGCACAAUGGGCGAAAGCCUGAUGCAGCGACGCCGCGUGAGGGAUGACGGCCUUCGGGUUGUAAACCUCUUUCAGCAGGGAAGAAGCGAAAGUGACGGUACCUGCAGAAGAAGCGCCGGCUAACUACGUGCCAGCAGCCGCGGUAAUACGUAGGGCGCGAGCGUUGU